GAUGAACGCUAGCUACAAGCUUAACACAUGCAAGUCGAGGGGAAACGAUAUUGGAAGCUUGCUUCCGAUAGGCGUCGACCGGCGCACGGGUGAGUAACGCGUAUCCAACCUGCCCACCACUUGGGGAUAACCUUGCGAAAGUAAGACUAAUACCCAAUGAUAUCUCUAGAAGACAUCUGAAGGAGAUUAAAGAUUCAUCGGUGAUGGAUGGGGAUGCGUCUGAUUAGCUUGUUGGCGGGGUAACGGCCCACCAAGGCGACGAUCAGUAGGGGUGCUGAGAGGAAGGUCCCCCACAUUGGAACUGAGACACGGUCCAAACUCCUACGGGAGGCAGCAGUGAGGAAUAUUGGUCAAUGGGCGAGAGCCUGAACCAGCCAAGUAGCGUGCAGGAUGACGGCCCUAUGGGUUGUAAACUGCUUUUAUAAGGGAAUAAAGUGAGUCUCGUGAGACUUUUUGCAUGUACCUUAUGAAUAAGGACCGGCUAAUUCCGUGCCAGCAGCCGCCGCCG
rnacentral:rRNA from 1 species